rnacentral:ncRNA from 2 species
GCGGAGGGAUCAUUACCGAGUUUACAACUCCCAAACCCCUGUGAACAUACCACUUGUUGCCUCGGCGGAUCAGCCCGCUCCCGGUAAAACGGGACGGCCCGCCAGAGGACCCCUAAACUCUGUUUCUAUAUGUAACUUCUGAGUAAAACCAUAAAUAAAUCAAAACUUUCAACAACGGAUCUCUUGGUUCUGGCAUCGAUGAAGAACGCAGCAAAAUGCGAUAAGUAAUGUGAAUUGCAGAAUUCAGUGAAUCAUCGAAUCUUUGAACGCACAUUGCGCCCGCCAGUAUUCUGGCGGGCAUGCCUGUUCGAGCGUCAUUUCAACCCUCAAGCACAGCUUGGUGUUGGGACUCGCGUUAAUUCGCGUUCCUCAAAUUGAUUGGCGGUCACGUCGAGCUUCCAUAGCGUAGUAGUAAAACCCUCGUUACUGGUAAUCGUCGCGGCCACGCCGUUAAACCCCAACUUCUGAAUGUUGACCUCGGAUCAGGUAGGAAUACCCGCUGAACUUAAGCAUA